GGGAGACAAAAAAUUAUUAUCAAAUCUUUAUUAUUCAUAAUCAUUAAUUUUCAUAAAUAUGUUAAUCCUAUUAGCUAAUUCCGUAGCUUUUAUUUAAGAAAAAAGUGGAGAAUAUUAUUUUUGUACCUAACUAAUCAAUUUGAUAGUUAGCUUAAUAAAAUGCAUAAUAUAUGUUUAGAUGGACCAACAUAUUAUUCUAAGAAUUCUAAGAAUCAUCCUAUUGAUGACAUGUGACUACAAAAAAUGGUUUAAUGUUUUCUAAUUAAUAUAUAAGGGAUUAAUCAAUAUAGCAGGAGUACAAAGUAUUAGUCUAAAAACCCUAGUUUAGCUGCCUGCUUCUAUAGUCAAGGUAUGUAAUAGUUAAUUAAUUUCUUUUAGGGUUCAGAUCCCUUUUAUAGGCCAUUGUAGUUGAAAUCUAAGUUAAAUCCUUUCAUAUUCUGAAAUGUAGAAAUAUUCUGAAAUCUAAUUAGUAGAAGUUUUCCAUUUUACCCAGAGGCACGAGGAAAAUAUAACCCAGAAGCCAUAACUCGUUCAAGCAUGAGGAGAAUGUCGACGUUCUUUUAUAAUUAGGAUGGAUUGUUUCAUGGAUUAAUUAUCCCCAACAGCGUUGCUAAACAAAUUUAUUUUUUAUCAACUAAUACAUAAACCAGUAAAUAUCGCACUUUACAAAGAAAUUCAAUAAAACUUCUAUAAUGUUACUUUGAUUUUGUACAUGUUGUGUUCACGUUAACAAUGAUAAAAAAAAAACUAAUUAGAUAAACAAAUUUGAUUAUGAGUUAAAACUUAAAGCUAUUCAUCUGAUGAAGGGAAAUUUAGCUGAAAAUACAUGGAGACAUUGGUAAUUAUAUAUUCAUGUGGGAUUCGAAAGUAUUUACAUAAGUGGUGAAUUGAUAUCAGCGAAAUUAUGUAUCAGUCCCCGGCACCGGAUGACAAAGCUAUGACUUGUUUUAAAUUGGAUUUGAUAAAUUUAAGUUGUCAUAUAUAUAUAUAUAUAUAUACAUGUCAGAAGAAGAUUCAAUUAUAAUAUUAUGUUGAUAUUUGUGAAGAAGAGAUGUCGAUUUAAAAUAUUUUAACAUGUAAAAUGACAUGGUAUUGUUUGCAAAAUUAACAUGGACAUAAUGUUAAUAGAAAUAAUUUGGAAAAGAUUAUAUUAACCAAUGUUAAAGACAAUUUUUUGGAUGCAUUAUACAAUUAAAUAUUAUACAAAUUCAGUUGGCGUGUGUUCUAUGUAAUAAUGAUAAUAUACAGGUUAACUAUCAAAGUAUCGAGAAAAUGUGGUUAGUAACUGAAAUGUGAAAGUGUGAAAUUUUUGAUCCAUUCAACCAAAUUAAGUGAAAUCAAUGUUGUUCAAAAUACUCAUAUUUGUAGUAGCAAAUUAGAAUUCUAACAAACACAUGAUACACUAAAACGGUGGUAAAACAUAACACAUGGAAAUUUGAAGGACCAAAGUUUGCACUGGAAACAAUAAGCCCAACUAUAAUCGGAUAAUACAUAGAUAACUAGAAUGUAAACAUCAAUAAGCUACAAAAAAUGUUUAAGAUGUACGUAUGAUUGUAAAACGAUUAACUUUGUUAUUGUGUAAACAUAUGAAAAAACUUCAACCAUAAAACUAAGACAAACCAUAAAUGGUAAUAUAAAAUUACAAGAAAUACUAAAUAUAACUUUAGAGUUAUAUGGUUAAGGAUGACUCAUUGUUCAUUUUAACUUGAUUAAAUAGUUUAUUUAUAUUAUAUAUGGUUAUUUUAAUGUUUAUUCAGAUAUAUGAUAAACUAUGAAAUGAAAACUACUUAUUGGUAAUACUAAAAUAUUAAUUUUAGGGUAAUGUGGUUAGUUUUGAUGCAAUUAUUAGACAUUUAAAAUUGGUAAUCCGGUUUAACUGAAUUACAUACGGCUACUGAAAAGGUAUCAAUGAUUUUAUGGUGUAAACUUACAAUAAUAGAUAUGUUAUGUUGUGUUAAUAGAUCAUUUAACCGGUUACAUCAAUGUUUACUAGAAUAUAUGAAAAUUCAUGUAAUGAAAAACUACAUAUGGGUAAUACUAAAGUAUUAACCUUUAAUGCAAUGUGGUUAGUGUUAAGGCAAUUGUUCAGCAUUCUGAAUUGAUUAUCCGGUUUAACUGAAAGAUAUCCAUCCGGUUACUGAAAAAAAUAGCAGUGAUUUUAUGUAAUUUUAGUUUCUUUUUCUCAAUUAACAAAUUUUAUUGUGAAUUAUUUUAUGUAAAUGAUAAAAUAGAAAAUAUAAUAUAAUUUUAGAUGUUCAUUUUAACUCCAUAUUAAUCCAUAUGUAUGUAAUUUAUAAAUACACCUAAAGACUUAAAAUAAGUUUAAAACAAAUUUUCUUGUAUAAAUGUUGAUAGUUUAGGAAAUGCAUAUUAUUAAUUAUACAUAUACGUAUGAUGUCUUUUUUAAAACACUUUUUUAUAAGAAUCAGCAUUUUUGAAUAAUCAAUUUUAAUAAGUAAAAUAUGAAAGUGUUCUUGCAAUCAACAACAAUAAGUUGUAUUUUAAAUUUAACUUAAUUUCAAAAAAAACAUAGUAGAUAUUAAAAGGAAUUAUAAAAAUUCUAAUAUAAAAUAUUUUGACUAAAUAAUUAGAAAAUAAAAAUAUUUUUGAUGAUAUAAUUGAAUCUUCUUAUAUCAUGUAUAUAUAUAUAUAUUCUAUUUUUAUUUUAUAAAAAAAUAAUAUCAAAUAAGUACACAAAUGUAAAAUUAUAAAUGUCAUUUGAUCCAAUAUGACAUAAUCAAACAUUGCAUUUUUAAUUAAUUUUACGUUCUAAAUCUCUUAUAUAAACAAGUAGAUUAUAGUAUAAUUAUUUUAUAAAUAUGUAAUCAUCAUAUCAUUGGAGAGUAAUUAAAUUUAUAAGUGCAAUAUUUUGGUACUGAAGCAAGGCUCGCUCUCGCUCCUCCGGACACAGUUGGGAUUCAAUCCCCGCCUGCUUAAUGUUCGGUCCUGAGUUUGAUAUGGGCCAAGCCUAGUUCCAAGCAUGGGUCUGAAAGUAACAUUAGCCGUUUCAAAGCCCUUAGGAAUUUAUCAAAUGUAAUGAAUUAAUUGGCAAUGUCACAGAAUUGACAAUUCUUGAUUUCUUGUGUAUGUUUUAGGAAAUGUUAUUUUUGUGAAUCUUUUAUAUAUUAAUUGAGAAACAUUAUAACAUUGUUUUGUAGUCACGUGUCGACAUGAGAAUAAAAUUCAGAAUUCUAAGAGAAAUAUGUUGUUUCAUCUUAACUUAUAUUAUACUUUUUAUUAAAAAAACUAUUAAAUUGAUAAAUAGAGUACAAAAAAAUAUUCUCGCACUUUCCUUAAAUAAAAGAUACGAAAUUCUCUAAUAUGAUUAACAUAUUUAUGAAAUUCAAUGAUUAUGAAAAAUAAAUAUUUGAUAAUAGUUUUUGUAUCGUAGCUCUUUUUUGUUUAAUUUUAUAUUAUUAAAAGAUAUUAAACAACCACAUUAAUCAAAUAAUAAAAAAUUUUAAAUUUCUUAUAUAUUAUAUUUAAAUUUUUUAAAAUGAAUAUAAAUUACUAAAAACUUUAAAUGUCUCACACUAAAAUGUUGUGAUCAAUUGUUUAACUUUUUUUGGUAAUAACAAGUUACAAAUGAUCAUAAAUCGUAUGAAUAUGAAGUCUCAUUUACUAGAUAUUCAUAUUAUAUAUUAAUAUAGUCUAAAAUUAAACUAUAUAACAUAGAAAAAUAGUUAAAUAUGAUAAUUUCUAAAUUUGUACUGAAAAAGUAUUGAAACCUUAAUAUUUUAGUUUUAAAAUUUGCAUUCAAAAAAU